rnacentral:lncRNA from 1 species
AUAGGGAGGUCUUCGGUGGAGUGCACUGGUUUGAUUGUCCUUGAAUCUUCCCAAUUGAUACUGGUGUCAUCUUCAUAUGCUCGUUUGGCCAGAGCUGUUGUUAAUUUAGCAGUAGUGGUGUCCCUUCUAUGCUCUUUGAGCCUGUCCUCCAGGUUCCUUGCUGUUGCUCCCACGUAAAAUUCUUCUGUCCCUCUUUGCUGGUCAUGGAAGGGAAUCUGGUAUACCCCCGUUUUUUGACAUUCACUUCUCCUAUCGUUUUCGUUCCGCAACAUGUUAAAAGUCGUGGGGGGUCUCUUGUAGGCUCAUUUGGUUUGCUUCUUUCUCAGGAUGUUUUUUACUACUGGGAAGUCUCUUAUAGCUUCUGGGA